AAACGUUGGUCACUGACAAAGUCCAGUGAAAAUGUUUGUCAUUUCUCUGCCUCCACCUCAGGACAGCAAAACACUUCAACACAAUGAAUUAAGCCUCUGCACCACUAUGUUCUACACACAGUUGUUUAGGUGGGCUGCACCACUGUAUGUGCUGCUUCUCCACAUUACAAGGAACACAAAGUCAAAGAAAUCGUGGCCAAGUGACAGAAGAAUUGGUGAAAGGAUGCAGGGACAGAAGUCAGGGUGUGCUCACAGAGUUACAAGUCACUUCCCACCUGCUAACUGUCUCCAUACUGAGGAGCACGCUGGAUGCACAUGGGCAAGUGUCACUUACCCAUUAACUUCUGCCUUUGAUUUCAAAAGUAUCUUUCACAAGAUAUCUAUUAUUACCGUCCUGCUUAGAGCACAAAAGUUCAAUUGAACAGAACCAAACUCCUGGGGCAGAAUGUUUCAGUCCCAGGAUAACUGGGACUAAUUUUUGGUGGUGCCCAGUGCCAGGACAAGAGGCAACAGCUACAAACUGGAACACAAGAGGUUCCGUCUAACCACCAGGAAGCACUUCUUUACUGUACAGGUGACAGAGCAUUGGAAUAAGCUGCCCAGAGAGGUUGUGGAGUCUCCCUCCUUGCAGAUCUUCAAAAGCCAAAUGGACAUGGUCCUGCGCAACUUGUUCCGGGCGUCCCUGCUUGAGCAGGGGGAUUGGACCAAAUGACCUCCAAACCUUCUGUCCAAUCUCAACUGUUCUGUGAUUCUACCCCUUCC